UUACAUCACACUUCUCCACUAUAUAAUUGGUGAUGUUACUGCCUCCGUCCUCCAGAGGGAUGUGCCAUGACAGGGAGCAAGCAUCAGCGUCUAUAUCAGAAAUGUCAAAUGGAGGCUGAGGGGGGCCGGGGGCAUCUACAUGAACCAAGAGGAAAGAAAUAGAAUAGACGCCUUGAUGGCUCCUCUGGCAGUUCUUGAUGACCAUGGAUGAGCUAAUGGCUGUGGUCUCAAUGGUGGCUUCUUGAGAUUAUUUACAGCUGUGAUGGUAUAUAAGCCAGUGUCACUCCUGCGAGACUGCGGAAUAACUAAAGUGCAAGUAUCAUCUACCACCAGUUUGUUGACAUGGGUGUCAUAGAGAACAGGUUCUUUGUUAUCAGGCUUCUUUGGAGGAGCUUUAAACCAGGAGCAUGCAGAGAAA
ensembl:lncRNA TTN-AS1 TTN antisense RNA 1